rnacentral:rRNA from 1 species
UACGAACUGUGCGAACGUUAUUCGGAAUCACUGGGCUUAAAGGGUGCGUAGGCGGUUAUCUAAGUCAGGUGUGAAAUCUCUCGGCUCAACCGAGAAACUGCGCUUGAAACUGGGUGACUGGAGGAAUGCAGGGGUGUGUGGAACUUCCGGUGGAGCGGUGAAAUGUGUAGAUAUCGGAAGGAACGCCAGCAGCGAAAGCGGCACACUGGGCAUUUACUGACGCUGAGGCACGAAAGCUAGGGGAGUGAACGGG